GCGAGAAUGGCGGAAUUGGCAGACGCGCCAGACUUAGGAUCUGGUACCGAAAGGUAUGGGGGUUCAACUCCCCCUUCUCGCA
rnacentral:tRNA from 1 species